GGUCGCGUGGCCCAAUGGGUAAGCAUCACCACGACAUAUCACGACCGAGGUCCAUAGCUAACAACAAUACAGCAAGGCGUCUGACUACGAAUCAGGAGAUUGUGGGUUCGAUCCCCACCGUGACCU